GACCGCUGCGGUGGCAGAGUGGUUAAUGCGUCCGCCUCAGAUGCGGUAGGUCGCGGGUUCCAACCCCGGUUGAGUCA